GAUCGUUGGUGCCUGCCAUGGGCUUGGCUGACGGAGAGGGUGCAGGUGUCGCUGCUUGGACCGAAGGAGCUGAGUGAACCGGCUCAGAGUUCUGGCUGAGGCCCCCGGCCCAGGACCAUCUUUGCUGCCGGAUUUCUGCCCAGGUCUUCUUGGUUGACCGAUGGAUGGCUGCUUCAUAGCGUUCCUGGAAAGGAUACAGAAUCAGGGCAGCUCGCCGUUUUUCCGCCUUGAUCCGUUGUUCCUCCAGCUUCCUGCGGCGCUCCUCCAGCUGCUGCUCCCUCAGCUGCCGUGCCUUCUCCUCCUUCUCCAGCCACUGGGUCUUUUUAGCAGCUAAGAUGUGAUAGAAGACAUGGUCAGAAGAAUAAGAAAUUACUAAAAGAGCACUCGACAAAGUGCUCUCUUUUGUGUUUCUAAAACAGGUAUAAUGCGUAUCCUCUUUUAAUGAUCCUUUCUUCGGCAGUUCUUCUGUAUCAGUUUUGACUUGAAAGAGUAGAGUGAUAUCUGUUGAAAGCCCCUACUUGACACCAAAAAACAUCUUUUGGUAAGUUGACAGUUUUCAAGAAAAAUCCUGUUUGAAUCUUGAAUCCAUAAUAAAGAAAAGUCUAGCCUCUCUGAUGUUUACUUCACAUCUAAAGCUGUCUUUGAAAAAAAAGCAUGUCACCCUUCACCUUUAUCCCUCUUUGUGUUUGUGUUUUGUGAAAAUAAAUUCAAUUACAUGACUUUUCUACAGAAUACUGCAUAAUGCCAAGUGAGACAGAUACAGUACUUCUGAAGUUUUUAUAACACACUAAUCUCAUCACGCCUCCACGUCAGCUUCAAUAAACUGCACACUUUGAUAUGGAAAUCGUCUCCUCAUCCCUGAGCUGUACAAAGAGGGUGUAAGGAAGCUUUUUGCAGCUGCCUCGCUGUGUACACAAGUCACCAUAAAACCUCCAUGAAGAAUCAGCCUCUGCAAGAAGGCGAGGCUUAGCUCUCUAAAGCACUUGAUGCAACAAAAGCAACUGGUUGUGGAUUUUAGAUUAUUGUGACAGAUCAUUGCAGAGAUGCCGGAAGCUAGAGCGGUUAAAAUUUAUUGGGAGACACACAGUUCGGCUUUUAUAUUGGAAGGAAACAAAAAGCUGAGUUAUACUGAGACACUGCUUGCCAGCACCUUGCGGCAAACAAAAUAUAUCUGCUGCACUGCGUAUCUCAGCUCAUCACAGCUUGAUGGCCUCGAUUUCAGAGAAGCCACAUCAUUACCUUCCAGUGAUACAAACCUUUAGGGGAAAGUGCAGUGGAAAGUGCUUCAUAAUUCACCCGUUGUGCUGUGAUGAGUGCAGAGGGGGAAGGAGACUGCCUCAGCCGCCCACAAACGUGAUGUUUAAGGCUUGCUAAAAUAGAUUACAGUUUUCCACUCCAAGGGAAACCUUUAAAUUAUUGUAAAGACUGCACACACUUCCAUGCAAAUCAAGUAUGUGACAGCUCGUGACACUCGCUGAUGUAAUAUUUGGAUGUGACUCAUUCAACAGGAGUGUUUGGUAAUGGUUUUCCAGAAUAUAGGUGCUGGUUGCAGGAAGGAAAAUGAGCUGGAAAUUGGCUAGGGGCUUGGUGGUCACACUAUACUAUGAAGAGAGUCAGUCCAAGUGAUUUCAGCUCAUGGCUUACACAGUUUUCAAUUUUCUCAGAGUGCCACUCAUCGUAAGUCAUUUAUGCAUCUAUUUCAGGGCUUUCAGUGAUAAACUGACGUCCAAUUCUGAAUAUCUCACGUUAAUAUUACUUUAAAAUACAUUCUUCAACUGUCUCCUGACAGUGAUUAGUACUGACAAGUAACAUCGGGACCUGGUAUAGUGAAGUCAUUAAAUAAUCAUAACCAGAGGGCUGCUCUAACCAUGGUACAUGAAGUAUUUAUACCAUUCCAAUACAGAUGGACAAGGUAGGAGAGUAGUUUCUGUGCAGUUGCAGCCAAUUCUCUUAUGCAAGUCUCUCAAAGCUUGACCUAAACGUAACAAAGACCCAAUAAUAUCCAAGAUGGAACAUGUAGGGAUUUUCUACUCAUGACUCUGUUAUUACUGAACUUGCAAUACUACUGAUGAUGAUUGAUAAGCUAAGUCUUCCUGGACAAGAUCUCCUUUUAAGCUGAUAUUGUAAACACAAGCUUUGGAAGGAUCUCAUUUUUAUCCAAGUCUGACUGAGAGUAUUAGAUCAGACCAGCACCAUCUGGCAUGCCCCAGUGAUCGCCCAAUUAGACCGAUCCACGCUAUGAAGUAUGUCAAACUCAUCUCACUGCUGUCGAACACACAGUUGGAUUAGACUACAAGGCAUUACUGAAAGUAUGAGUAUGACAGUUUAAAGGAUGGAUUAACUUAAGAUUUCCUGGAGAAAUGUGCAAAUGUGAUAAAUAUAAUAUACUGUAGACAUCAGUGUUAACCAAAAAUGUGAAUAUAACACAAAGUCCACCCUGCAGAUAAUAUCCUGUAAGACUACCAUAGUAAACACUAUAUACUUUAUCUGUGCAAGAUGCAAAAAUACAUUAUCACCCAGCUCUGUAUCUAAACUGUGUGAUUUCUGUUUGGCUAUAAAAAGUUGUUUAGAUGCAAAUUUGCAGCCAAGAUAAAUCUGGCUGCAAGCUGAAGCUAAAACCUUCCAUUUUCACCAGUAAGAUUGUAAUCAUAGCUGCAUGUGGUACAAACAUGCUAUAUUUAAAUACAAAAUUCAAGUUCUGUGGUGUCUGCAGUUGGAUGAACAAAGUUCAAAUUCAGAGCAUGCUAUGUCCUCUUCUAUGUGAACUCCAAACUCUCUGUCUAAUAACCAUAACAACAUAACAUAAUUUACACAUAAAUGAUUGGUUAUGUGAUCAGUCUAUGGCUACAUGAAUUCUAUAAAAGACAUAUUGAUGAUGUUCAGAGAGAGAAAAGGUUACAAUUAGUUUAAAUUUUCAUGGUAAAGACAAAAGAAGACAACCAUGAUUUUU